rnacentral:rRNA from 1 species
UACGUAGGGUGCGAGCGUUAAUCGGAAUUACUGGGCGUAAAGCGUGCGCAGGCGGCUUGCCAAGUCAGAUGUGAAAGCCCCGGGCUCAACCCGGGAACUGCGUUUGAAACUGGCAGGCUAGAGUUUGGCAGAGGGGGGUGGAAUUCCACGUGUAGCAGUGAAAUGCGUAGAGAUGUGGAGGAACACCGAUGGCGAAGGCAGCCCCCUGGGCCAAAACUGACGCUCAGGCACGAAAGCGUGGGGAGCAAAAAGG